CCAGCUUCGUGUGAGACGAGUGACACCAGACAGGAACACAGUACUCUGCUGUUGAAUAUCAGAGGGCAAGGGCUGAUGAUCUAAGUGUCUGGGCACUUGCACCCCAGGUUGAGCCAGCCAGUUUUCUUAGCAGGUUGUUCUGAGUGCUAACUUUGGCUGCCGUCUUUCUCAAGUGGUUGUGAUGGAAUACACUGGAAAUGGUCUUAGAAAAGCUCGGCUGCAGGCACCGUUGACUGCAGUAGUCUGCCAGGAGCUUCUUCAUUCAAGAUCAUGUCAGUUUCUGAGAAGGCGUGAGCUUGGUGUUAUCAGCAUAGAUAAACUUGCGCAAGAGUGUAGCUGGGCUCCUAGAGGCAAUUGCUGAUGUGUUUACGUAGGAGCCAUGGUCAUUCUACGCCAGGAACUAGGCCAGGAAUUUUGUACUGGCCACCUACUAAAUAGACUCUAACAACAUGGCUACAGAUUCUCCACCAGGUUGUCCUUCCUUGACGAGCCAGCUACAUCAACCUCUUCCCCUUUGCCCUACAUAUGCAUACCAAAGCCAGGGGUCUGUGAUUGAGUGGUGUUCUCAUCCCUGGCUUUUGGCAUAAAAUGGAUUAGUGAAACAGAGGCAGAUUGGAGUUUUCAGCUUAUCAUCAAGGACCGUUCACACAUCAGAUUCCAAUAUUGUCUCCAGUAGACAAUGAUACGUCAGUGGAUAUCUCCUACCGUAGGACACUCCUUUUACCUGCUGAUCACUAGUUUCCUGUUAUAAGUAACUUGCUCCCAUGCCCUCUGGUGCCGUGGUCCUGUCAGGUGUUACAAAAAAAGCAGGAUGAAGCUAUAUCCGUGUUCCUUAGGAGGCCUCCAAGAAACAUCUAGAUGCCUCAGGAAGAGGUGGCGUAAUUCAGCUGUCGCCACUCUUUCCUUUCAGUCAGUACCGAAUCAAUGCAAUCUCAGUUCGGUACAUCUGGGACGGAGAAAUGGGACACAUCCUCCUUUCCCAGGCCUUUUGCAUUUCAGUGAGUCUAGGUUAGGGGGUCUCUGGUUCUGGAUUCCUCCCUGUGGUUUUGGUUCUGGGUCAGAUCCAAAACCAACCAGAGCGUGUUGGGUUUUUUUUGCUGAUGUUUCAGAUGUAGCUGAAAUCGCACAAAAAGGCAGUUCCCAUGGGAUUUCGUGCUACGAUGGUUAGACUAUGCGGAACAUCUGAUCCCACAAGAUUUUUUCCCCUUCAUUCUGUUUCACCAUUAUGGAGAGGUUUCUGGCCUUUGAGGUCCAACUCUCAUGACGACAGCUUUUGUGCACAUAGGUCCCCAAAUCAAAGUCCGGGGCCCCCUUGUACUGAUUACUAACAAGAAAACAGUCUGUGGCGCAGAGAGCCCACAGAUUGGACGUACAAAAAAGCAGAUAGUUGGUUGGGGGAUAGGUAACAGAAAAUGGGCAUGAAUAGAAAGCGAGCCAUAGUUUCAGCCUAUAAGCCAUGUAUUAGCACUGGUUCAGCCUCAAACCCCAAUCUACACCUCAUCCUUAUCCAAAUGCUAUCUCCCUGGCCCACUCCUGUUUGUAUAUUAUACAGGCAGGAAUAGUUCUGUGCUCUCGUUUUUAUCCCCUUUCCUCCUCUGAGAUGGAAGUAGGAGAGACCUAUAUCAAAUCUCACAAUCCAUUUAUAAACGUCCCCAAGCCAUGCUCAGCAGUCAUCAUCUUCACUCAUAGCUGACGUGCAUUAUGCAGUUCCUGGAUGAUAUUGGAUGAUGUGUGUUCGACUUUGUAUCUUUAAGUGAUCGACUGCUGUGUAUAUUUUGAUAGCAGGGAGGAAAAAAUAAAGCAAGCAUUAUUGUAGGCCUUCCUGGGGCUGAUUUGUGGUCAUGGUAUUCUAAAAACAAAAGCAUAAGCCCACAGCUUAUAUUUGCUGCCUCAUAAAUACAGAAUAAUUUAAGUCUUCUCCCAUUUAUGUCUUGUACCUGUGUGAUCUACGAGUCUGAGGCUUCCCUGGAUAGCAGUAACACCAUGAUGAAAAGUCCAGCAUGAGCCAAGCAGAGGACACAUUUGCAUAUAGAUUGAAAUGUGAAUCGUUGGGAGCCAUUCAUUAACUGCAGCGCUCGAGACAUGUGGCAUUUUAAGAGCAGCCGGCAUCAAAUCUUUUCCAUCAAAUUUAUGGGACAAUUAAAAUGCUGGGGUAGCUGUGCACAGAAAAUGAAGCCGCGGGCUGGGGAGAUGUUCUUACUGAGGAUUAUAAAUUGUAUGAUGCAUGAGACAG